GACGAACGCUGGCGGCGUGCUUAACACAUGCAAGUCGAACGGAAAGGCCCUGCUUUUGUGGGGUGCUCGAGUGGCGAACGGGUGAGUAACACGUGAGUAACCUGCCCUUGACUUUGGGAUAACUUCAGGAAACUGGGGCUAAUACCGGAGAGGAGCUCCUGCUGCAUGGGGGGGGUUGGAAAGUUUCGGCGGUUGGGGAUGGACUCGCGGCUUAUCAGCUGGUUGGUGGGGUAGUGGCUUACCAAGGCUUUGACGGGUAGCCGGCCUGAGAGGGUGACCGGCCACAUUGGGCCUGCGAUACGGCCCAGACUCCUACGGGAGGCAGCAGUGGGGAAUCUUGCACAAUGGGCGGAAGCCUGAUGCAGCAACGCCGCGUGCGGGAUGCCGGCCUUCGGGUUGUAAACCGCUUUCGCCUGUGCCGAAGCGUGAGUGACGGUAAUGGGUAAAGAAGCACCGGCUAACUACGUG
rnacentral:rRNA from 1 species